rnacentral:rRNA from 1 species
AGAGUUAAAUAGUACGUGAAAUUGUUGAAAGGGAAACGAUUGAAGUCAGUCGUACCGACGGAAAAUCAACUCUUCGAGUGCGGACUUUGUGGACGUGCGUGAGCUUUAACGGCCUCGCUGUUUGUAACGUUUGUGCUUUUUGGGUGUACUUUUUCGUAUGGUAGGCCAACAUCAAUUUUGAUUAUCAUAAAAUGAUUGAAGGAAUGUAGCUUCGAUCUCGUAUUGAAGUGUUAUAGCCUUUAGUAGAUGUGGUGAUUGGGACUGAGGAUUGCAACGAAUAUCCUUUGGGCUAUCCGUCUGAUCUCUGAAAGUCGCUUAGGUGCCGAAAGCUUGCUUACGGUCAUUUAAGUUUGACGGUCAAAAGGUUAGAACGUGAUUACAUUCGUUAAGGAUGUUGGCGUAAUGGCUUUAAACGACC